AGGAGGAAGAAGAUCCGAGGAGCUGCGCUUCAUCCCCCCUGCUAUCACCCACCCCGGACUCCCUACUCUCCUCCUGGAUCGUUCCUCCAUCACUCUUGCUUUUAUCACUGUUUGGCCCGGGUCUGGCACCGCUACGGAGUUCUGAGUGUGUGUUUUGGGUUCGGACGCGGGCAUCGGAAGGACGGCGUGCGCGCACAGUGGCGUGUGUGUGUGUGUGCGUGUGUGUGCGCGCUUCCCCGUGCGUCUGUAUGUGUCUAUGUGGAGUCUGGACUGCUGGAUGUCGCUGUGAUGAGGCUCCCUUAGCCGAGUGGACCUCGUAUUUUCCAUCAGAACCCCCAAAUCACCGCGCACAGCCGAGCUGGAUGCAGCGCAGCAUCAGGACCGAAUCUGAUCAGCGUUUCUCUUUCAUACCGAACGAGCAAUAAAGGAACCGUUUCACCCGGGAACAGAAACAACUCCACUCAGCCAGGGACGACGGAAGCACAGACGCCUGGCAUGAUCCUCGGCCGCACCAAGUGAUCCACGUCAAGUUCUCCGCUCGACCCAGCGUUAGCC